CGGCUUCUGUCUGGAGGCGGGCUGGCAUCCUUCGGGGUUACAGCCUUGCUGAAUUAUUCACCCGUGUCUUUUGCGUACUUCUUGUUUCCUUGGUGGGUUCGCCCACCAUAGGACAAACCAUAAACCUUUUGUAAUUGCAAUCAGCGUCAGAAAAAAAAAAAUUAAUAAUUACAACUUUUAACAACGGAUCUCUUGGUUCUGGCAUCGAUGAAAAACGCAGCGAAAUGCGAUAAGUAGUGUGAAUUGCAGAAUUCAGUGAAUCAUCGAAUCUUUGAACGCACAUUGCGCCCUUUGGUAUUCCAAAGGGCAUGCCUGUUCGAGCGUCAUUUGUACCCUCAAGCUUUGCUUGGUGUUGGGCGUCUUGUCUCCAGUUCGCUGGAGACUCGCCUUAAAGUAAUUGGCAGCCGGCCUACUGGUUUCGGAGCGCAGCACAAGUCGCGCUCUCUUCCAGCCAAGGUCAGCAUCCACAAAGCCUUUUUUCAACUUUUGACCUCGGAUCAGGUAGGGAUACCCGCUGAACUU
rnacentral:rRNA from 1 species